GGCUAAGUGGUCUAGUGGUAUGAUUCUCGCUUAGGGUGCGAGAGGUCCCGGGUUCAAUCCCCGGCUCAGCCC
rfam:Pristionchus pacificus strain PS312 contig7816, whole genome shotgun sequence.